GACGAACGCUGGCGGCGUGCUUAACACAUGCAAGUCGAACGGAAAGGCCCUGCUUUUGUGGGGUGCUCGAGUGGCGAACGGGUGAGUAACACGUGAGUAACCUGCCCUUGACUUUGGGAUAACUUCAGGAAACUGGGGCUAAUACCGGAUAGGAGCUCCUGCUGCAUGGUGGGGGUUGGAAAGUUUCGGCGGUUGGGGAUGGACUCGCGGCUUAUCAGCCUGUUGGUGGGGUAGUGGCUUACCAAGGCUUUGACGGGUAGCCGGCCUGAGAGGGUGACCGGCCACAUUGGGACUGAGAUACGGCCCAGACUCCUACGGGAGGCAGCAGUGGGGAAUAUUGCACAAUGGGCGGAAGCCUGAUGCAGCAACGCCGCGUGCGGGAUGACGGCCUUCGGGUUGUAAACCGCUUUCGCCUGUGACGAAGCGUGAGUGACGGUAAUGGGUAAAGAAGCACCGGCUAACUACGUGCCAGCAGCCGCGGUGAUACGUAGGGUGCGAGCGUUGUCCGGAUUUAUUGGGCGUAAAGGGCUCGUAGGUGGUUGAUCGCGUCGGAAGUGUAAUCUUGGGGCUUAACCCUGAGCGUGCUUUCGAUACGGGUUGACUUGAGGAAGGUAGGGGAGAAUGGAAUUCCUGGUGGAGCGGUGGAAUGCGCAGAUAUCAGGAGGAACACCAGUGGCGAAGGCGGUCCUCUGGGCCUUUCCUGACGCUGAGGAGCGAAAGCGUGGGGAGCGAACAGGCUUAGAUACCCUGGUAGUCCACGCUGUAAACGGUGGGUACUAGGUGUGGGGUCCAUUCCACGGGUUCCGUGCCGUAGCUAACGCUUUAAGUACCCCGCCUGGGGAGUACGGCCGCAAGGCUAAAACUCAAAGGAAUUGACGGGGCCCCGCACAAGCGGCGGAGCAUGCGGAUUAAUUCGAUGCAACGCGUAGAACCUUACCUGGGUUUGACAUGGAUCGGGAGUGCUCAGAGAUGGGUGUGCCUCUUUUGGGGUCGGUUCACAGGUGGUGCAUGGCUGUCGUCAGCUCGUGUCGUGAGAUGUUGGGUUAAGUCCCGCAACGAGCGCAACCCUUGUUCACUGUUGCCAGCACGUUAUGGUGGGGACUCAGUGGAGACCGCCGGGGUCAACUCGGAGGAAGGUGGGGAUGACGUCAAGUCAUCAUGCCCCUUAUGUCCAGGGCUUCACGCAUGCUACAAUGGCUGGUACAGAGAGUGGCGAGCCUGUGAGGGUGAGCGAAUCUCGGAAAGCCGGUCUCAGUUCGGAUUGGGGUCUGCAACUCGACCUCAUGAAGUCGGAGUCGCUAGUAAUCGCAGAUCAGCAACGCUGCGGUGAAUACGUUCCCGGGGCUUGUACACACCGCCCGUCAAGUCAUGAAAGUUGGUAACACCCGAAGCCGGUGGCCUAACCGUUGUGGGGGAGCCGUCGAAGGUGGGACUGGUGAUUAGGACAAAGUCGUAACAAGGUAGCCGUACCGGAAGG
rnacentral:rRNA from 1 species